GAGACUGCAUCCCACGCAGGCAGCCCCCUUCUGUACAAGAGAGGCUGGCGGUUACCUUUCUUGGGGAGACGCGUCCGACUGCUUCAUUGUGGGGGCCUCAGGAGCGGAGGAUCGGGUCCCGCCCGAGGUGACGCGUAAACCCGGACUCUCAGCAACGCGGGUAGGAAGGACCCUUGAAGUUCCGCGGCGACCACGUCGGCUGAAACCAGCAGCCCAGGACAAGUGGACCAGCCAGCAAGACCCAGACCAUCCAAACCGGCUGAUCCUACGACAGGACCCAGAUGCCAGUGAAAGUGACCACAGCCCUGCUCUAGUCACCUCGGGAGCUGACCAGUCUACGCACGGCCGAAGCUUGAGGAGACGCCAGCCCUGCUCUCGUCACCCCGGGAGCUGACCAGUCUACACACGGCCGAAGCUUCAUCAAGGAAGUAAAUGUAGUUAGAAAUCUUAAGCCCAGUAAUUUUCCUUGUCAUCUUAAUUGUUUUACUAUUAACCUGUCGCUUUGCUCAAUCCCCUCCUCUGGGCAAACAUCUCUUGUCCAUCCUAGGUACAAACAUGCUACUCUUCCCUUUG
rnacentral:antisense_RNA from 1 species